rnacentral:lncRNA from 1 species
GGGGAGGAAGAGGAGCAGGAGGAUGGAGGGAGAUGCCACCAGCUGCCCUGAAUCCUUGCAGUGCCUCUGCACAAGCUGUGCCCUGCACUGUGGGAGAAGAGGCAUGAAGAGGCUGUUUAAUUUCCAGCCCUGCUACUUAUUGUAGGGCUUUGGGCAUGGCAGAAAGCCUCUGAACUUUAAUUUCCUUCUCUUUAACAUAGGCUUCAGGUGCGUUCCGGUUGUGGCUCAGUAGGUUAAGAGCCUGACAUACUGUCCAUGAGGAUGUGAGUUUGAUCCCUGGCCUCACUCAAUGGAUUAAGGAUCCGGCAUUGCCAUGAGCUGCAGCAGAGGCCGGCAGCUGCGGCUCUGAUUCAGUCCCUAGCCUGGGAACUUCCAUAUGCUGCAGGUGGGCCAAGAAAAGAAGAGAAAAGGAAAGGAAAGGAAAUGGGCACCGAGGUUGUAUGUACCCCCAGGGUUGUCAUAUCGUUUAGAUGAGUUGACCCGAGGAGAUGGCACCAGAGUUUUGGUGCAGUCAGGUGCCUCUCACAGGGCUUAACCCCUAGGGAGCUCUUUCCUUGUCUGCAACUCCCUGAAGGCUGGGCCUAUGUCUUGUCACGAUGGGAUCCGGGCACAUGCCUGGCACGCUAUAGGCGGCCAGUCAGUGCUGCUGAGUGAGCGGUUCCAUGAAGGGCUGGAACCCUAAACAGCCUCUUCAUGCCUCUUCUCCCACAGUGAAAUGUGUGAGUCAAAGUGGGAAAUGAAAAGCAAAGGGUCAGGGCAGGCAGGGGACCCCACUCUGCCACUUUCCCUCCAGAAUAUCCCCACCCAACCACAACCACAGGUCACUCCUCUGGCCUUUAUUCUAGAGCAGGGCUUAGGCGGGGUAUGCUUGCUGACCAGAUGGGGACCAUAUUUCCCCAGUGAAAUCACACAUAGGUCCUACUAUAUAGCACAGGGAACUAUAUCCAGUCUCUUGGGAUGGACCAUGACGGAGUAUAGGAAAGGGAAUGCAUGGAAAGAUCGAUCGAUCGAUUGAUAGAUAGAGAUGUAUAUGCCUGGGUCACUUUGCUGUACAGCGGAAAUUGGCACAACAUUGCAAAUCAACUAUAAUUUUAAAAAUUGGCACAACAUUGCCAAUCAACUAUACUUUAAUUUAAAACAUCUAAAAAAAAAAUACACAUAUAUAUAGGGGUUCCCAGGCUAGGGGUCAAAUUGGAGCUGUAGCUGGUGGCCUACACCACAGCCACAGCAAUGCUGGAACCAAGCCACAUCUGUGACCUACACCACGGUUCACAGCCACGCUGGAUCCUUAACCCACUGAAUGAGGGCAGGGAUCAAACCUGUGUCUUCAUGGAUACUAGUCGGGCUCAUUAACCGCUGAGCUACGAAAGGAACUCCUGUCUCAUGAUUUCAAGAGAGGAAACUCUCUCCCUGACUCCCCAUCAGUGCUGCUGUAAAUGCCCUCCCCACCUGCUACAGGAAUUCCACUGGGAGAAGGCACAGCUUCUCACCUUCUUCUCAGAGCUAAAUCAUUAGAGAAGAAACCCAGGAAUUGGAGAAAAUUCUAGAAGGCAGUUGGGGGAGUUUCCUUGUGGCUCAGUGGGUUAAGGUCCUGCAUUGUACUGCUGUAGCUCUGGUUACAGUUGCGGUGCAGGUUCCAUCCCUGGCCUGGGAACAUCCACAUGCCAUAUAUGUAGCCAAAAAAAAAAAUUUAUUUGUAUAAUAUAUAUGUAUAUAUAUGUAAAAUACACAUAUGGCAAUUGGUAUGAACUCAGGGAUGACAAAGGCCUGAGUUUGAGGCCCAGUUCUGCCCCUCACUCAUGAAUAUUUUAAGCUCCUUGAACCUUAGAUUCCUCACCUAUAAAACAGGGGUAGCAAUUGUAACCAUGCAGGAUGAUUAUGCAGAAUCAAAGGAAGAGCAUGGGAGUAACCGAGAAGGAAAAGCUCUUCUUUAUAGAAGUCUGACAACUGAAAAAUGGACGGGAUGAUGGAAUUAAAAAAAUCACUAUUCGCAGAGCUCCCCCUGUGGCGCAGCCAGUUAAGGAUCUGCCAUUGUCUCUGUAGCAGCUCGGGUUUGAUCCCCAGCCUGGCAUGGUGGGUUAAGGAUCUGGUGUUGCUGCAGCUGCGACUCAGAUUUGAUUCCUGGCCCUGCAACUUCUAUAUGCUGCAGGUGCAGCCAAAAAAAAAAAAAAAUUAUCAUUUGCCGUUGAUUUGGGCAAGGAUCACUAAUGGACGCUGAAACUAUUGGGUAAAAAGUUGCUGGACAACAGGAUGGUCCCCUAGUCUCAAAGCACCACCCCACAGGUGACUCAUGAAUGACAGAGGGGGAAAGGUAACUUUAUGCAGGAGAGAUCUGGGGGAAACCACUUUAACCAAGUGAUGAAAUUCAACAUCUCUAGUCAUGCUGGCAAACCGUGGCUCCUGACCGCAUGCACGGGGAAGGGCCCACCACCAAGUAGACCUCUUGCCAAAAUGUUUCACCAGACUCUAAUCCUAAGGAAACAAUCAGACAAAUCUCAGUUGAAAGACAUUCUAUAAGACAUCCAGCUUGAACACUUCAAAAUAUCGAUGUUGGGAAAGCAAAGAAGGCAGGGAGGCUAUUGUAGGUUGGAGGGGGCUGCACAGACAUGGCAGCAGAACAUAGUGCCUGAUUCUUGAGUGGAUCCUGGAUCAGGGAAAGAAACUAUGGAAGACGUUUGAGGAACAACUGGGCAAGUUCGAAUAGGGAGCGUGUCGUAGGUAAUAUUGCGUCAAUGUCAAAUCUCUCAGCUGUCAUGAUGACCUUGUGAUUCUUUUGGAGAAUGUUCUUCUUCUUAGGAGAUUAGUGAUAAAGUCUUUAAAUGUUCUAGCAAAUGGAUCAGCAAAAUAUACAUCUAUUCCUCUCUCUCUCCAUGUAUAUACAUAUAUACAUACAUACAUAAACACACAUAUAUGCAAAUGUGGCUAAAUGCUUUUAUUUUCUUCUUAGAGCUGCACCCGUGGCAUAUGGAAGUUCCCAGGCUAGGGGUCGAAUCAGAGCAGCAGCCUCUGUCGGCCUACACCACAGCCACAGCAACAUGGGAUCUGAGUCACAUCUGCGACCUACACCUCAGCUCACGGCAACGCUGGAUCCUCAACCCACUGAGCGGUGCCAGGGAUCGAACCCAUGUCCUCAAGGAUAUUAGUCGGGUUCGUUGCCACUGAGCCACCAUGGGAACUCCCUAAAUGCUUUUAGAAGUGGGGUUAGCACAGGCUAAGUAUCCACCUAGUGAUUAUCUCAGCAGGCCCCGAUCCCCAGGGAGAGUGGUGGCACCAAGCAGCUGAGGAUGGAGGGGCCUCUCUGGAAGUGGUGAAUGGGUAGGAGCAGGGAAAGGCUGGUUGGGGAUGGGGGAGUGGCUGAAGGCAGUGUAGGGUAGAAAGAACAUAGGGUUCGGAGGCUAAGACCUGGGUCUGCAGUGAGUUACUUAGCCAUUUUGUGCUUUAGUGUCCCUGUCUGUAAAAGGGGGAGGAAGGGUGCCUGCUGCUGUGUGAGAGCACUUCUGUCACUGCUCGGAACCAGCCGCUCCCUGGGCCCAGGAACACAGGGGAGAAGGAACAUGCAGGUGGAAGUGCAGGUGCCCUCGUGGUUGGAAUAUAGGUCUCCUUUUGCCUCCUUCCCUGGGGACCCUGUGUGGCUCCCAGGAGGGCUGGCUGAAGAGUCAGGGCAGGGCAGGGACAAGCCUUCUCUACUGCCCUUUGCUCCAAAUGGAGCCUUCUCCCCCAUCAGACCCCCAGGAGCAGUGGCUUGUUGAGGACACGCAUUUGCUCUUUCCAAAGCAUCCCGGGAAGGCAGUGGCCAGAGGAGGGACUCUAGGGCUGAUGCAAAAAUGAUGGAAACUGGAGUUCCUGACGUGGUGCAGUGGGUUAAGAAUCUGACAGCAGCAGCAAUCUGCUGCAGAGGCUCAGGUUUGAUGCAGUGGGUUUAAGGACCUGGCAUUGCCACAGCUGUGGCUCGGAUUCAAUCCCUGGCCGCGGGAACUUCCAUGUGCCGUGGGUGCAGUCUUAAAAAAAAGGAGGCAAGAGACAAAAAAAAAAAAAAAGAAAAAAAAAAAGAAAAG